rnacentral:rRNA from 1 species
GACGAACACUGGCGGCGUGCUUAACACAUGCAAGUCGAACGAAGUGGCGAACGGGUGAGUAAUACGUGGGUAACCUGCCCUCCUUUUUGGGAUAAGCCUUGGAAACGGGGUCUAAUACCGAAUAUAGGGGGAUGGGCUUGCGGCCUAUCAGCUUGUUGGUGGGGUGAUGGCCUACCAAGGCGGUGACGGGUGGCCGGCCUGCGAGGGUGACCGGCAAGAGUGGGACUGCGAUCCGCCUCCGUCUGCUACGGGAGGCAGCAGUGGGGGAUAGUGCACAAUGGGCGACAGCCUGAUCCAGGGAGGCCGCGUGGGGGAUGAAGUCUUUCGGGUUGUAAACCUCUGUCGCUAUCGUACGGGUAGGUGGAGAAGAAGCGCCGGCUAACUACGUGCCAGCAGCCGCGGUAAUAC